rfam:Solanum lycopersicum cultivar Heinz 1706 chromosome 1, whole genome shotgun sequence.
AGCCACGCAAUGAGCACAAAGCGAACUAUUCUUUCGCCUUUUACUAAAGAAUACCGUGUGCGUGUUGCAAAUAGUGGCAUACGCCAAUUUUUGGAGGGGUUUUCUUUAUUGAAAGCC